rnacentral:rRNA from 1 species
UACGUAGGGUGCGAGCGUUGUCCGGAAUUAUUGGGCGUAAAGAGCUCGUAGGCGGUGUGUCGCGUCGGCCGUGAAAACCUGGGGCUCAACUCUGGGCGUGCGGUCGAUACGGGCAUCACUUGAGUUCGGCAGGGGAGACUGGAAUUCCUGGUGUAGCGGUGAAAUGCGCAGAUAUCAGGAGGAACACCGGUGGCGAAGGCGGAUCUCUGGGCCUGUUCUGACGCUGAGGCGCGAAAGCUAGGGGAGCGAACAGG